CUUGCCCCGAGAUGAGUUCUCCCUGAGACUUUAAGUCUCCUGAAGGAACGUUGAAGACGACGACGUUGAUAGGCGGGUGUGUAAGCGCAGCGAUGCGUUGAGCUAACCGGUACUAAUGAACCGUGAGGCUUAACCUUACAACGCCGAAGGUGUUU
rnacentral:rRNA from 1 species